AUACAUGUGAUAUAGAAAUUAAACAACAGAUCUAAUUCUGAAACAAGUUUAGAUUUAUCUGUAUUUUAAAAAAUAUUGUAGAGCAAUGAAAUAUAUUUUCUUAAUCUGACUUUUAAAGGAAUAUUUAAUUUAUGGUACUUUUUUCUGGUUAAUUUUAUCUUUUCCAUACCAAGUAAUAUAGGCAGUUGCAACAUCCAUGAAGAGUUGUUAAUUGGAGCACAAGGCAUCUGCAGUGUCAAAUCUACAGAGACAAGUGCACCUGGAGACAAAUGACCAGACUACCAUAAAACAGAAGCUUAAUUAUGUUCACUUACAUUUUCAAAUUAUUCCCAACAAAUUACCCUGUUUUUCCAGGCAGAAGAAGCAGAGUGAAGAGAGGACAUUCCAAAUAAAAUGAAUGGGUCCUUAUGUGACAGGUGUCAUACCCUAUACCUGGAAGAAGGAAUGCUGCAUAGAGAGGCCCGGAAGAAUCUGAAAAAACAGGCCUUACUGGGCUCCUUCAGUUUAUCACCAUUACAACACACCCUUUUUGUCCAAUCGUAUUUCUAUACAGCUGAUCCUGCAUUGAGUGCAAGCAAAAAACUGUCAAGUUUUCCCUGGAUCUUUGGGCUUUCAUUUCUGAAGUCUCCUGUGUCACGUAAAACUUUGUUAAAUAAAUUUGUUAUGCUUUUCUCU
ensembl:lncRNA LINC00446 long intergenic non-protein coding RNA 446